GUGGGAUUGUCCAGAAAUAGAGUUCUUUCUUGAAGGAGCAUUGCCCUUCAAUUUAGAAUUCCUUCAUAUCUACAAUUGCACGAAACUGGUGAACGGCCGAAAGGAGUGGCGUUUACAUAGACUUCCCUGUCUCAGACAGUUAGUGAUCGGACAUGAUGGCAGUGACGAAGAGAUUCUUGCUGGUGAGAAUUGGGAAUUGCCUUCCUCUAUUAGAAUUCUUGUCAUAGUCAAUAUGAAAACAUUAAGCAUCCAAGUUCUCAAAAGCCUCACCUUUCUUCAAAUUCUAGCUAUUGGUGAUUUACCUCAAAUUCAGUCACUGCUGGAAGAAGGGCUUCACUCAUCUUCUUCUCUUCAAAGUCUACGCAUCUUCUCCUGCCAUCAAC
rnacentral:misc_RNA from 1 species